rnacentral:rRNA from 1 species
GGAGGAGGCAAGCGUUAUCCGGAAUUAUUGGGCGUAAAGAGUCCGUAGGUGGGUUUAUCAAGUCUGGGGGUCAAAGACCGGAGCUUAACUCCGGAACGGCCGUGGAAACUGAGAGACUAGAGACCGGUAGGGGUAGAGGGAAUUCCCAGUGUAGCGGUGAAAUGCGUAGAGAUUGGGAAGAACACCAGUGGCGAAGGCGCUCUACUGGGCCGGGACUGACACUGAGGGACGAAAGCUAGGGGAGCGAAAGGGAUUAGAUACCCCUGUAGUCCUAGCCGUAAACUAUGGAGACUAGGCGUGGCUUGUAUCGACCCGAGCCGUGCCGAAGCCAACGCGUUAAGUCUCCCGCCUGGGGAGUACGCACGCAAAGUGUG